rnacentral:rRNA from 1 species
CCUACGGGAGGCAGCAGUGGGGAAUUUUGGACAAUGGGCGAAAGCCUGAUCCAGCCAUGCCGCGUGAGUAAGAAGGCCUUCCGGUUGUAAAGCUCUUUUAGUCGGAAAGAAAGAGUUGCAAUGAAUAAUUGUGAUUUAUGAGGUACCGACAGAAAAAGCACCGGCUAACUACGUGCCAGCAGCCGCGGUAAUACGUAGGGUGCGAGCGUUAAUGGAAUUACUGGGCGUAAAGGGUGCGCAGGCGGUCUUGCAAGUCAGAUGUGAAAGCCCCGGGCUUAACCUGGGAUUGCGUUUGAAACUACAAGGCUAGAGUGCAGCAGAGGGGAGUGGAAUUCCAUGUGUAGCAGUGAAAUGCGUGAGAUGUGGAAGAACACCGAUGGCGAAGGCAGCUCCCUGGGUUGACACUGACGCUCAUGCACGAAAGCGUGGGAGCAAACAGGAUUAGAUACCCUGGUAGUCCACGCCCUAAACGAUGUCAACUAGUUGUCGGAUCUAAUUAAGAUUUGGUAACGUAGCUAACGCGUGAAGUUGACCGCCUGGGGAGUACGGUCGCAAGAUUAAAACUCAAAUGAAUGACGGA